GACGUAGGGGCGAGCGUUAUCCGGAAUCACUGGGCGUAAAGCGUGCGUAGGCGGACGUUUAAGUGCAAUGCGAAAUCUCGUGGCUCAACCAUGUAGACUGUAUUGCAUACUGGAUGUCUGGAGGAUGGCAGAGGCUAGUGGAAUUACUGGUGUAGCAGUGAAAUGCGUAGAUAUCAGUAGGAACACCAAUGGCGAAGGCAGCUAGCUGGGCCAUUUCUGACGCUAAGGCACGAAAGCGUGGGGAGCGAACAGG
rnacentral:rRNA from 1 species